GACGAACGCUGGCGGCGUGCUUAACACAUGCAAGUCGAACGGAAAGGCCCUGCUUUUGUGGGGUGCUCGAGUGGCGAACGGGUGAGUAACUCGUGAGUAACCUGCCCUUGACUUUGGGAUAACUUCAGGAAACUGGGGCUAAUACCGGAUAGGAGCUCCUGCUGCAUGGUGGGGGUUGGAAAGUUUCGGCGGUUGGGGAUGGACUCGCGGCUUAUCAGCUUGUUGGUGGGGUAGUGGCUUACCAAGGCUUUGACGGGUAGCCGGCCUGAGAGGGUGACCGGCCACAUUGGGACUGAGAUACGGCCCAGACUCCUACGGGAGGCAGCAGUGGGGAGUAUUGCACAAUGGGCGGAAGCCUGAUGCAGCAACGCCGCGUGCGGGAUGACGGCCUUCGGGUUGUAAACCGCUUUCGCCUGUGACGAAGCGUGAGUGACGGUAAUGGGUAAAGAAGCACCGGCUAACUACGUG
rnacentral:rRNA from 1 species